ensembl:snoRNA LOC120100460 small nucleolar RNA SNORA17
CCUAUCCUUAGAGGCAUCACAGGUGUGGCUGCUGUGUCACAUGUAUCAGUAGGUGGCAGGGAAGGGGGCAGACCAUGACCCAAGAUGACCCUGCCCAGCACC